AUGGGGUAUAACAAAAUAACUUAAUAUUAACUUAUUAAUUUGGCAUUGCUGGCCUUUGUCAAUUUGGUUUGUCUUUUUUCACUUGCCAAGAAGUUUAUUCUUCCUACAAUGAAUGUCUUUGAUGACAUAAAGACAGAGGUUGAUGAGGAAUAAUAUCUGCUGACACGACCAGACUUUGGUGUCCUAGAAAUCUUCAUCCCAGAAAGCACAAGCAGCAUUGAUGGGCACGUCAGACUCUGAUGGGACCGCAGUGUUGAUUAGAAAUCCUCCUGAAAAAAAUCUAGCCAAGAAACGUCAUCUAGUCCAGAUCGAAAAUAUCCUAAACAGCAUCCCUGGAGGCGAUAAGGUCAUAAAGGAAUACGCUCGCACAAAGUCUUUCAGAUGGCAAAAGACGUGACAUGGUGAAAAUCUUGGAAGCACAUUUAACAAAGGAACAUGGAUCUUCCCCUUACCGAAGUUUGAAGGAAGAAUAUGCAAAGGGUAUUAUCUCCAUAUUCCCAUGCUUUGCUGACCCCAGGAGCAAGCUUGGUUAUGAGCAUUAUUACAAUGCAGAAGAUGGAAGUGGAUAUUUGGCGUGGAGAAUUAAAACUCAAGCAUCAGAGGGACAGAUAAAAUGCCCACGGCAACCACAAACAGGUGCAUGACUUGCAGAUUGAUUUGCAGAUUUUGGACUUCUAUUUGGUGAGGCGACCACUGCAAACUCAAACAGACUUGUAAGGUCCAAGACCUCAUCCAAAAUGCUGAAGUUGAAGAUGGUAACUAUUGUGCUAUACAAGUUAUGAAUUCAUGAAGAAUGGCUUUAGAACCAUAGUUUCAAUUGUAUUAUUUAUUGUAUUAUAUUUACAACAUAUAAUCCAUGCUUUUGUUAUUUAGAGUCCCAAAUGAAAACUAUUUUAAACUGUAAAUCUACAACUCGCAUACUAGGCCCUUGUGAAAACCCAUCUGAAAGCGCUCUAUUUUUACACACUAAUUUUGUACUUUAUAUACAAAAAAUUCUUCUUUUGUACUUCUUGAGAUAAUCUUAAGAACAUCUAAGUAUACUUGUCUGUACUAUUUUGAGACACCAUGAAUAUGAACUGAAAUAUGCUUAAAAUAUAUUUAAAAAAAUGUAUUUAGGUACCGCUUGUAGUAAACUUAAACCCAUCUUUCAUACAAACAAGUGGUAAAUAAAUAAUUUUUUAAAAUAUAUUUUAAGCACAUUUUAGUUUAUAUUCAUGGCGUCUCAAUAUAGCACAAUAAUUUUUAAGUUUAUUAAGUACAAAAUUAAUGUGCGAAAAGAGAGCAGUACAUUAUUGAAGUGUACUUCUUUUUCAGCUGGGUUUUCACAAGGGCCUAGUACGUGAGUUGCAGAUUUACACUUUUAAAUUGUUUUAAUUUGGGACUCUAAUAACAAACGCAUGGUUUACAUAUUGUAAAUAACGUUUAAAGGGGACAUAUGAAAAUCUGACUUUUUCCUUGUUUAAGUGCCAUAAUUGGGUCCCCAGUGCUUCUAUCAACAGAGAAAAUGUGAAAAAGAUUAACCCAGUAACUUAGUUUUGAUAAACCAUUCUCUGCAAGUAUGUGAAAAUUUAAAUGUGGCUCCCCUUGUGAUGUAAGAAGGGGAUCUUACUAUAAUUAUACUACCUCUUAAUCUGCACUAUUCAACCACUGCCAUUUAGUGCAGCUCAUUUGCAUUUAAAAGGAUACACCCAAAAUCAACACAUAUUUGCUCACACCUACAAAGUGUCAAUUUUAACAUGUUAUAAUAAAUUGUCUAUAUGGUAUUUUGAGCUAAAACUUCACAUACAUACUCUGGGACAGCAAAUAUUUAUUUCACAUCUUAAAGUCUUGUGAAAUGUCUCCUUUAACUGUAUUUCCUAAUUUCAGUAUUUGUAGUAGUUUGUCUCUGCUUUGUUUAUUGUACCAUAUUAUUUCAUGUAAUUCUUUAUCUCCUCUGUUGUAUUAUCACUAUUUAUAUUAUUUUAGUGUUGUUGUCAUGAAUUGUAAAAAUGCUGUUUAAAAGAUGAGCUUGACAAAUAAAAUGUAUAAUAGAUGCUGUUAUAGCAAGAGAAUAAAAUUUUACUGAAAUUACAGUUUUGUUUCAGACUGAUGUUUUUCAUUUUCGAGCUGUUUGAUGGUGAAAUGUGA